GGGUAGCCCAGUGGGUAGAGUAUGAGACUCUAUAACCGCAGGGUCGUGGGUUUGAACCCCACGUUGGGCA